rnacentral:tRNA from 1 species
GGAUUGUGGCUCAGUGGUAGAGCAUAUGCGUAGCAUGUGUGAGGUCCUGGGUUUGAUCCUCAGCACCA